rnacentral:lncRNA from 1 species
AUGUUUCUGUGCAAGUCAUGGAAUCCUAGGAAAAAUAGGAUUGGAAAGGUCUUAAGGAUGUCGUCUACUCCAGCUCCCUGCUCAAGAGUGCACUCCUGGCAUAGCUCCUCCCAACCGAUGCUUCUCCAGCCUCUUGAAAGCCUCCAAGGAUGGAGAUUCUGCAACACUUUCCUAGACAAUUAGUCCACUCCAGUCUCUCUCUUCCACCUGUGAAGAAGUUUCUCCCAAUGUGCAGUCUGAACUUACUUUCUGCAACUUUGAGCUACUGCUAGUAAACCUGUUUGACCAAAGCAUGGUGCAUAUUUGCAGCUCCUGCAUUGGAAUAAUGAGUUGUGGGACUGCAUUGCAAUGCCUCUGAGGAUAUGGUUCAUUUGUGAGUCCUCCAGCUUUGAAAAACACUUUAUUUUUGCCAAGCCAAUUCCUGCUGAGUCAUGGCAAACAGGGUGAAGCCUUGAACUUUAUCUCAUUGCUAGGUGCCCACAAGGCCACUGCAUAUGCUCACUGCUUCUGUAGGGUUCGAGGUGCUAAGUGAUGGCUAGCCAGUCUCUUUCUCUCCAGUUGUCUUGUUGAAUAGAUUGAGGCUUUCUUGCACGGGUGAGUCUGCGCCCCAGCUUUAGCAUCCUGAAAGGCUCCAGCAGCGUGUUCUUGGAGUGUCAAAGAAAAGCUGCUCAGUAUGGUGGGGUUUUGCCAGCCCCUGGAGUGAUGCCUGCCCUGGAGACUGCUUGCCAAUAUGUGCAAUGUAGUUACCUGUGCGGGGAGACCCCAGGGGCUGGGAGGUAACUGGGGUGCAACUUUGCACCCUGGAGAGGGGGGAACGUACCACCUCACAGUGGCAGUGGGGGAGGCAAGGGAAGACUGGCAGCACCCCGGUCUGUAGGUGCAGGAAUAUCACACCCAUAGAAGAAGGGACGAGAAAGAAAUAACAGGACACCGAAGAGGAGAAGCCCUGCAGUCUGUCAGAUUCCCGCCCCCCCAUCAACUGCACAAUGAACUACUUCAGCAUCCUGAGUGCCUCCCCCUGAAAGCUGGGGGAAGGGAAGCCCUGCCCCUCUCGGCGCUGAUUGGCCAGCUAUUUCCGCUGGUCAAAGC